UGGGGAAUAUUGCACAAUGGAGGGAACUCUGAUGCAGCGACGCCGCGUGAACGAAGAAGGCUUUCGUGUCGUAAAGUUCUUUUAUAUGGGAAGAUAAUGACGGUAACAUAAGAAAAAGCCCCGGCUAACUACGUGCCAGCAGCCGCGGUAAUACGUAGGGGGCUAGCGUUGUCCGGAAUCACUGGGCGUAAAGGGUUCGCAGGCGGAAAUGCAAGUCAGGUGUAAAAGGCAGUAGCUUAACUACUGUAAGCAUUUGAAACUGCAUAUCUUGAGAAGAGUAGAGGUAAGUGGAAUUUUUAGUUUAGCGGUGAAAUGCGUAGAUAUUAAAAAGAAUACCGGUGGCGAAGGCGACUUACCGGGCUCAUUCUGACGCUGAGGAACGAAAGCGUAGGUAGCAAACAGG
rnacentral:rRNA from 1 species